rnacentral:rRNA from 1 species
GAGUUUGAUUAUGGCUCAGGACGAACGUUGGCGGCGUGCUUAACACAUGCAAGUCGAACGUGAUUUUUGUGGAAGUUCUCUCGGGGACGGAAAUGAAAUGAAAGUGGCGAACGGGUGAGUAACACGUGAGCAACCUACCUUACACAGGGGGAUAGCCGUUGGAAACGACGAUUAAUACCGCAUGAGACCACAAAGCCACAUGGCUUAGGGGUAAAAGAUUUAUCGGUGUAAGAUGGGCUCGCGUCUGAUUAGCUAGUUGGAAGGGUAAAGGCCUACCAAGGCAACGAUCAGUAGCCGGUCUGAGAGGAUGAACGGCCACAUUGGAACUGAGACACGGUCCAAACUCCUACGGGAGGCAGCAGUGGGGAAUAUUGCACAAUGGGGGGAACCCUGAUGCAGCGACGCCGCGUGAGCGAAGAAGGUUUUCGAAUCGUAAAGCUCUGUCCUAUGAGAAGAUAA